rnacentral:lncRNA from 1 species
UAAAUAAUAAUAAAAACAUAUAUUUGAAUUUUAACACUCUUUAAGUUAAAGCUUACUAUAUUUUAAGCUUGUUACAUUAAAAUAAUUUCUCAUAAAAAUUGAAACUAAGUUUGACAAUUGUUAGACUAGUAUGAGUCAUAACCAACAUAAGUCACCGUCAAGAUGAUCAGUAAUAAGAAGAGAAUACACCAUUAAUGAUUCACGCGUAGGAAAAGAGUCAUUAUCGAAUUGAUCGUCGAUGAGAAUAAAAGACACCAUUAAUAUGAUUCAUAUGUAGGAGAAGAGUCGCCACCGAUUAAUCAUCGAUUAAUCAUCGAUGAAAAUAAAAGAAACCAUUAAUAUGAUUCAUAUGUAGAGAAAAAAGUCACCAUCGGAUUGAUCGCCGACUGGAAUAUCAUUGGAUCGUUUGAGCAAAUGAUUUUCACGACCUUGUUCUUUGAACCAAAUUCUCACACCAGCAACUCAACAUGCGUAUUUGGCAUAACUGACCAAUUGUUUUGCAAGGAAUUAGCGGAAGAAUAGUAAACCAAAAGCGGGAGAAGAAGUAGCAACAAAUACAGUGCUGAACAUAAGGAAUUAUGUAAGGAGAAAGAGAAAAGGUUGCGGGAAAAUCAUUAAAAAUACAAAAUAUCAUCGAAAUGUGAAUUAAGACACUGAGUUAAUUACGAUCAACAUUGAAAAUUGGUGGCAGGCGAAUGUGCCACGCGAGAUGUUGGUGACAGAGUGUGGGAAUCACGCAAAAAGGAGCGGCAUGCAUGGAGAGGAGUUUGACAAAGAAAAAUGGUCAUUGUGCUUGCUAGAGAUUUGCACAACUAUUUGUGGUGGUUUUAGAUAAUGGAUCACACUAGGAAAAGAGGUUGUUCGUGUUGGCACAAUUGUAACAGAGUAAAAAAGGACAUAAUUGUGAUAACA